AUUUAUAUAGUUUAUUUAAAACAAUAUAUUUUCAAUAUAUAAAAAAUUAUUUUUUAAUUUAUAAAUU
rnacentral:tRNA from 1 species